rnacentral:rRNA from 1 species
UGAGCAAUCUGCCCUUCACAUCGGAAUAACCAUUGGAAACGAUGGCUAAUACCGAAUACGACCUCCUUUCGCAUGAUCGGAGGUGGAAAGCUCCGGCGGAGAAGGAUGAGCUCGCGGCCUAUCAGCUAGUUGGUGUGGGUAAUGGCCCACCAAGGCGACGACGGGUAGCCGGCCUGAGAGGGUGACCGGCCACACUGGGACUGAGACACGGCCCAGACUCCGUACGGGAGCAG